AAGACCCUCCCUCCCAGACCCUCUCACCUCCUGGACAGCUCACUAAGAAUGCAGCUUCACAAUGGAUGCUGUCCAGGAGGUGGGAGGGUCUGGGAGGGAGGGUCUG